GACAGAGGGGGCAAGCGUUGCUCGGAAUCACUGGGCGUAAAGGGCGCGUAGGCGGGAUGGCAAGUCAGUCGUGAAAUCUCUCGGCUCAACCGAGAAACGUCGGCUGAUACUGCCGUUCUUGAGGGAUGCAGAGGAGACUGGAAUUCCCGGUGUAGCGGUGAAAUGUGUAGAGAUCGGGGAGGAACACCGGUGGCGAAAGGCGGGGUCUCU
rnacentral:rRNA from 1 species